rnacentral:lncRNA from 1 species
AAUAUGCGUAAGAUACAACAGUGUUACUCCAAAUUUAUCCUCACAACUUAAAUAAUCUAACCCAUAGAUUCCUCUUGCUGAUUUCAAAAACUGAAAAAGACCUUUUGCCGCUGCAAAUGUAUUAAUCCAAAAUGUAUAUUUUUCGAGUCACACAGCUGAUUUCUUAUAAAUUGUCUCUCAUUUUCAUCUGUUUAUGUCAUUUUGUCCAAGAGAAAACUUGCUGUCUCAUCAAAACUUAUAAGACGACUACUAUCGACGCGUACACAUUUAUUAUCACCUGACGAGACAUACUGAAUGCUAUGAAACGUGAACCACGUGUGUAGUACGUCGGUAUAUCACCAUUGUCUGUAUACGGUGAGUUGUAAAUACUUAUUUCCAGACAUGUUUGGUUAUUUUUCGAUGACUGCCAGAUAUUCAUUCCUUGGUUGAUAUAAAAAAAAAAGUAUUGUGUUCCAAUGACCCCUAUAAUAGAUCUGUGAAGUAAAUUGUAUC